AGAGUUUGAUCCUGGCUCAGAACGAACGUUGGCGGCGUGGAUUAGGCAUGCAAGUCGUACGAGUUCCAUUUGGGCAACUGGAUGGAAAAAGUGGCGAAAGGGGCAGUAAGGCAUGGAUAAUCUACCCUGAUGACCGGGAUAGCUGUCCCAACGGGCAGGUAAUACCGGAUGAGCUGGCGGUGCCGCAUGGUACUGCCAGGAAAGGCGCAAGCCGUGUCGGGAGGAAUCCAUGUGAUAUUAGCUAGUUGGCGGGGUAACGGCCCACCAAGGCGAAGAUGUCUAGCGGGUGUGAGAGCACGACCCGCGCCAUUGGCACUGAGACACUGGCCAGACUCCUACGGGAGGCUGCAGUCGAGGAUCUUCGGCAAUGGGCGCAAGCCUGACCGAGCGACGCCGCGUGAGCGAUGAAGGCCAUUAGGUUGUAAAGCUCUGUCGAGGGGGAGCAAGCCGCAAGGUUGAGCGAUCCCUGGAGGAAGCACGGGCUAAGUUCGUGCCAGCAGCCGCGGUAAGACGAACCGUGCGAACGUUGUUCGGAAUCAUUGGGCUUAAAGGGCGCGUAGGCGGGUGUUCAAGUCCGGGGUGAAAUCCUCCAG
rnacentral:rRNA from 1 species